CUCCUCCCAGGACGCAGCCCCACCCAGGGCACCCUGCAGCUAAGCUUGAUGCCUGGACCUGCUCUGGCCUGGAGGGGACACACAUCAAUCCCUGCAGAUGGGCUGGCUCCCACAGAACAGGUUUCCCUUGGAAAGAGCUCCUGAGAGGCGGGGAGCGGCCAACCCUCCCCUGGAACUACACUGAGGACCCUCCUGUCGAGGGGACUGAGCCUGUCAGAGGAGAGCAAGUGCCAGGGGGAGAGCACACCGUCUGGCAAGCCCUGUCCUCCACAGACGGCCCUAUGGUCCUGCAUGGCACCUGCCUCCUUUCCUCUCUGACAACAAACCCACAUCUCUCUUGCUUUCCUGGCCCAUGUCGGACCCCAGGG
rnacentral:lncRNA from 1 species